GGGGAAUAUUGGGCAAUGGGCGAAAGCCUGACCCAGCAACGCCGCGUGAAGGAGGAAGGCCCUCGGGUUGUAAACUUCUUUUAUCAAGGACGAAAAAAAUGACGGUACUUGAUGAAUAAGCCACGGCUAACUACGUGCCAGCAGCCGCGGUAAUACGUAGGUGGCAAGCGUUAUCCGGAUUUACUGGGUGUAAAGGGCGUGUAGGCGGGACUGUAAGUCAGAUGUGAAAACCAUGGGCUCAACCCAUGGCCUGCAUUUGAAACUAUAGUUCUUGAGUGUCGGAGAGGUAAUCGGAAUUCCGUGUGUAGCGGUGAAAUGCGUAGAUAUACGGAGGAACACCAGUGGCGAAGGCGGAUUACUGGACGAUAACUGACGCUGAGGCGCGAAAGCGUGGGGAGCAAAC
rnacentral:rRNA from 1 species